rnacentral:rRNA from 1 species
AGGAUUAGAUACCCUGGUAGUCCCACGCCGUAAACGAUGAGUGCUAAGUGUUAGGGGGUUUCCGCCCCUUAGUGCUGCAGCUAACGCAUUAAGCACUCCGCCUGGGGAGUACGGUCGCAAGACUGAAACUCAAAGGAAUUGACGGGGGCCCGCACAAGCGGUGGAGCAUGUGGUUUAAUUUGAAGCAACGCGAAGAACCUUACCAGGUCUUGACAUCCUCUGACAAUCCUAGAGAUAGGACGUCCCCUUCGGGGGCAGAGUGACAGGUGGUGCAUGGUUGUCGUCAGCUCGUGUCGUGAGAUGUUGGGUUAAGUCCCGCAACGAGCGCAACCCUUGAUCUUAGUUGCCAGCAUUCAGUUGGGCACUCUAAGGUGACUGCCGGUGACAAACCGGAGGAAGGUGGGGAUGACGUCAAAUCAUCAUGCCCCUUAUGACCUGGGCUACACACGUGCUACAAUGGGCAGAACAAAGGGCAGCGAAACCGCGAGGUUAAGCCAAUCCCACAAAUCUGUUCUCAGUUCGGAUCGCAGUCUGCAACUCGACUGCGUGAAGCUGGAAUCGCUAGUAAUCGCGGAUCAGCAUGCCGCGGUGAAG